rnacentral:rRNA from 1 species
UACGUAGGGGGCAAGCGUUGUCCGGAAUCAUUGGGCGUAAAGCGCGUGUAGGCGGUUCGGUAAGUCUGCUGUGAAAGUCCAGGGCUCAACCCUGGGAUGCCGGUGGAUACUGUCGGGCUAGAGUACGGAAGAGGCGAGUGGAAUUCCCGGUGUAGCGGUGAAAUGCGCAGAUAUCGGGGAGGAACACCAAUUGCGAAGGCAGCUCGCUGGGCCGUAACUGACGCUGAGGAGCGAAAGCGUGGGGAGCGAACAGG